UAAGACUCUACCUAACUCUAGUUUGUUUAGAAAUGAGAACAUUACAUCUCCCAGGUUUCUCUCUUUCUAGAUUAGGCAAAAUUUUCAUUAUGUAUGAACUAGAUUUAGUAAUAUAGUAGUGUUGAAGUAGGGAAUUUUCCAAAGAAACCAGUUUGAAGUUUUGGGUUUAUGAUUUUAUGAAUGAGUCCGUAAGUUUUUCGCCCGCAAUACAUUCAUGCAUUCUUUAUCAGACUAAUUUUAUCCAUCUCCUAGCAAUCUAAUAACUUGCCUAUGUGAUCAGCAAAGGUCUCCAUAUCAUCACUUACCAAGCUUUGUGUCUGCGGUACUAGAUUGAUGACAUGUUGAGGCUUAAGACAAUAGGUUUAGCUUAAUGUAAGCAAAGUUGUUUCUUUUGUUUGUUCAGUGAUAUGGAAGACUCAAUCUCCCACAUUUUGUUGCUUGGCUAUUCGAUUGUAAUGGUUGAUUGGUUGAGUGGGGUUUAUUUGUUAUCAGGAAA
rnacentral:lncRNA from 1 species